UAAUAAAUAAAAAAUUAGAAAUAGAAAAUGUAAAUUUUAGAAGUUCAGACUUUUAUAAAUAAAAAUAAGUUAUAAGUCAUAAUAAACAAAAUGUAAGAAGUACAUAAACAACUUAAAACUAAAACUAUUCGUCAUCAAGAUUUCCAAAAUCUUCUUUUUCAACAGCGGCCAUUACAAAUUCUUCCUCCUCUUCAUCACCAUCAACUUGCAAAGAGGAUGCACCUCUCAUUGAAUGAGACCCUUGAAAUGAUGGAGUUUCAACUAGUGUUGAUCUUGCAACCGAUCUCGAUUCAUAACAAGAUUCAGAAACUCCAACCGCCCUACCAACAUCACCCCAAG
rnacentral:misc_RNA from 1 species